rnacentral:rRNA from 1 species
UUAUGGCUCAGGACGAACGCUGGCGGCGUGCCUAAUACAUGCAAGUCGAACGGUCUUUUCUAUGGAAGCUUGCUUCCACUGAAAAGAUAGUGGCGAACGGGUGAGUAACACGUGGGUAACCUGCCCAUAAGAGGGGGGAUAACAUCCGGAAACGGGUGCUAAUACCGCAUAGUUUUCUUGAUCGCAUGAUCGGGAAAGGAAAGACGGCCUUUGUGCUGUCGCUUAUGGAUGGACCCGCGGCGUAUUAGUUAGUUGGUGAGGUAACGGCUCACCAAGACGAUGAUACGUAGCCGACCUGAGAGGGUGAUCGGCCACAUUGGGACUGAGACACGGCCCAAACUCCUACGGGAGGCAGCAGUAGGGAAUCUUCCGCAAUGGACGAAAGUCUGACGGAGCAACGCCGCGUGAGUGAAGAAAGGUUUUCGGAUCGUAAAACUCUGUUGUCAGAGAAGAACAAGUUGGAGAGUAACUGCUCCAGCCUUGACGGUAUCUGACCAGAAAGCCACGGCUAACUACGUGCCAGCCGCAGC